rnacentral:lncRNA from 1 species
CAAAAUGAAAUAGAAAUGUAAAGACAAUUGAUUAAUAGAUGCCUUCCUAAGAACUAAAACCCCCUAUUUAUAUAGAUAGGGUUUACUAAAAAUAGCUUAAGAAAAUUAAUAUAAAAUCUAAAAUAAUAAUAAUUAAAAAUAAAUAAAAUUAAAAUAAACUUAAAAUAGAAUUUCCUAUUUUUGGCUUUUUACAAAGUCAAAUUUAUGACUAGUCCUUGGCUUGCUCCAUCUUUUUGCUUUGGCCCAUUCCAAUAAUUUUCUUCUAAUUUGGCCCCUUUUUAGCUUGCUUUUGAUCAAUUGCAUCCCUGACAAGAAUUAAAUCAUAAAAACACUUAAUUAGCAGGAUUUAGUUCAUCAAUAAACCAAAUUAAGCAUAAAAAAUAUGCAAUUUGACAUGUUUAUCAAAUCCCCCCUACUUAGCUCAUGCUUGCCGUCAAGCAUGUUGUUCUUUCAAAUAUUAGAAUCAAUUCCACAAUUUAUUAAAAAUCGAGCCCUUUUUCCAUAUCCUCAAUCAAUGCAAACAACAUAGGCAAAAAGAAAUAAAUGUUCAAAAUAUACAUUUUAAUCAACAAGUGUCAUAAAAUUGAAAUAUGUCAACUAAACAAUUUCGCUAAAUUGAGAUUGAAUCCCAUAAUUUGCACAGCAUUAUUAAUUAACUAUGCAUCAGAAAAUUAAUAGACAAGAUCAAACAUUUUUACGCGAACUAGGAUGACAACCCAAGCACCCUAUCCCGGUUACUCAGUUCAAACAGUCUUUAUUUAUUAUGUAUUAUUUUUCUCUCUUUUUUUUAUUUUAUGGGGUGUUCAGCUAGCGGAAUGUUUGUAAGUUAUCGACUUGUCACUCGAACCUUUUUACGCGAGACAAGAUGACAACCCAAGCACCCUGCCUCGGUUACUCAAUUCGGUCACGUUUUCAAAACUUCAUUCAUAGACUGAACCUUUAUUAAUUUAUUUAUGCACAAGCAAACAUAUUUUAUUCAAUCAAUCAAUUCAGCGAAAAAAUUCUAGCUACAUAUACCAAUUUUUAAAACCUAAAUGUCGACCAAUUUAUAUACUUAAACAUUUAGUUCGAAAUUUGCCCAAUUGCUUAAAUUAACAUAUCAAUCCAACCCCCCACUUAAACUAUGCUUGUCCUCAAGCAUGUAAAAUAAAGUCAGCAGCUCAAAAUGAAAAGGUUCAGAACACUCCCCGUGUAUUUUAAUGACAUCGUUUGUGUUGAAAGUCGCAACUUUGCAGGAUAUUGAGGAUGGUGGCGACUUGUGCUUCCAUUGUUUCAAGUCUAGCUUCGAUUCGACUUAAACGGGCCUCUACAGUCAAAGGGUGUUCCUCUUACUCUCUCGUAUUAGUGUGUGGAUGCUUGCGAAAAACUCUAUUUUCCCGAGCAGCCCGUGUACCUAGAGGAACAAAAUAACACGAAGUAGGGGUGCCGGCAAGCAAUCCCAUAGAAUCCAAACAAUAUUUAUCUAGGUGGUUCAUACGAUAUGCACAUGUGAAGGUUGUGAAAUCAAUUUCAGACUCAAAAAAUCGAGAGGCUAAAUUUGAAAUGAAUGAUCCAAGUAUAAGUGGAUGGUUGUAACUCAAAACGGCAUGAAAAUUUCGUGCAAACCAAUAUCCUAAAUUAACUUUAAUACCCGAAUGCAUGCACCAUAAAAAGAACAGUUCAGUCUUAGUCAAAGCAGCUGAUGCGUCAUUUCUACCUGAAAAACAAAAUGCUAAAAAUCGGUAUAUGUAUUUUAAAGCAGGCUCAUGCACCCAUAAAUCUUUUGUGGUCUUUGGAUUAUAAAGUUGGUCAGAAUUAGUUAAAACACGAUAAACAUGCUGAGCAUCGAAGUCAUUGGGAACAUCUAAAAGAGCAGAAUGAUAGGCAUCAGAUUGAAUGUCAUUAGCGUCGAUGAAACCCAUGGCAAUGUUAAAUUCUGAAACAGACAUCCGAAAGUCUUUUCCAAGCAAACGAAAGCACACUAUAUUUUGUAUUUCAACAGUUUGCAAUGCAUUUAUAUUGAAGCUAAAUGUGGUAUAAAACUCAUAUACUAAUUCAUAAUAUGCAUCACAAGUAAUAUUAGCAAAUAGAGUCCAACCAAUAGCAUCAAAAAAAUGGAGCACUACAUCAUGAAUAUCUAGAAGUUCAAGAGUAGGGAAAUCGAUUUGCUUACAGACCGGAAGCGAGCAUUGUCGGAUGGCGUUGUAUCGUGUUUGCUAUUCCGAUGUCGAAAACUCUAGAAAUCCUCGCAAACGACUAUCGGUAGGAAUAACAUUUGCUUGACUACGUCUGUUGCGUUGAUUUGCUCGGGGUGGUCGAACGUGCUCGUUAGGCGAGUCGGGUGGGGGAUUUCGUUCAGCAGCUUCAGUACUGCUGUGCAGGGGCAUCGAUGGCUCACGUGUCGACCGUCGAUGACUUCGGGUUUGGCGUUGAGGGACUUGUUCAACAACGGUAGGUGUAGGCUCGACAUGGACGUAAGAAGUUUCGACUUCCUCUGGACUGCCCGAAGUGCUUGUGUCGGUCGGGGUUAGACUUCGUUGUCGGCGGGCUCUUAGUUGAGCGGCCGUUCGUCUCGGAGGAGGUGGAGGAGGGUCGUCGUUGGCUAACUCAACGACAGGAGGCGCGGAGAAACGGUGUCGAUUUCGAUUAAGUGAAACUGGGGUAUUGUCUGCCGCUUGGUUUCGAGUUCAGACCAUGGUAUCCGUGCGAGCGUCCCGAGUAGUCAAUUCUGGUGGUUCGACGACGGCGGACUUGGCGGUGGCGGACGACGGCAGCGCACGGCGGCGGUGAAUAUGGCGGGGUGAUUUCAGACCGUUUUUGUGGAGGGUGGAGGUGGGGGUGUUGAUGUUGGCGUUGUUUAAUGUGGGGGUGGGAGUUUUGGUAUUUCAAAGAAAGGAAAAAGAAAUGAAAAAAUAGGGGUUGGGGGAAGAGGAACGGCGACGCGUGGAAGGCCCCAUUCGGCGAUGAUGGUGCAUCGCAGGUGGGAGGUCACUGCUCGGUGGUGGUUCGGCGGUGGGAAGGGCGUCGGAUGGUGGUGGUUAGAAGGAGGAAAAAAAAGAAAAGAAAAGAAAGGAAAGUAGAGAUGGGGCGUCGGCGCGGGGUCGACGGCGGCGCGGCGCGAGGUGGGCUGGCGAGGUGCGACGAUAGUGGUGGAUGACCGGCGAAGGGAGUGACGGCGACGGUUGACGGCUUUGCUUGGUUUGGGGUUAUGUGUUGUUUGUGGAGAAGAGGAAGAAUAUGAGAGGAUUUGGGAAUUUAGGGAUUUUGGG